UCAUCGGCGCUGAUCUGCGUAAUUGUCUCGAGCGCCGAAUUGCAGUGUUUACUAAAUACCUUAUGGAACUCGUCCGGAUU
rnacentral:sRNA from 1 species